rnacentral:snoRNA from 1 species
AUCUUUUUGUAGUUCAUAAGCGUGAUGAUUGGGCGUUCAGCCGUUGUGUGACAUGUGCCACCCUUAAACCUUGUUACGAGCCGGCACAUUAUCCAUCUGAUG